AUCUAUGUUUGGAAAUUAUCUUCUUUGAAAUGUUUGGAAAACACAACCACCAAUUGGAAGGAAACCUGCCCUUUAGGACAUGCAGGAAAUAGCAGACUGAAAGAAACUUCUUCUUUACCUCUGGUAGAACAACUGGAUCGGUGAAGGAGACUAAGCAGUGAAGCAGACUAAGUACUGAAGAGGUAUCCAUUUUUACCCCAAAGCACUAAGGGAGAUCAUUCUUUAUUGUUUUCCUCUCUGUAAUUAGAAUAUAUUUUUCAGUCAUUCUGGACGCAUUCAAGUUAUAAGUGGCUCAGGAUGCAUGUAGCAAAUUCUUAUACUGCUGGUCUAUAUAGGAAGAUUUAUGAGCCAUUCUACAUCUUGAUUUGUCAGAAAAAUAAAUGAACCAGCUGAAACAUUAAGCUGAGAGGUACAAAAAGCAUUGCUGCUUUAUUUUUUCCUAUUUAUGAAGCACUGAGCUGUAAGGGUGCUCUAAUGCUAACUUGUAUUAAUUUUAACUAACUUGAAAAUCAUGCUGACUGGUCUAACAUUUAGGUGCUUUCUCAUUUUCAAUUUCUCAUCAGCAUUUAGCUUUCUGAUGGAGACACCACAUUUGUUAUGUUAGUGUAAACUGCUAAUUAAAAACAGUGGUGAAAUGAAACUCCACCGCUGAUAAAACUGAGAAGCUUUUAAAAGCUUCAUCUCACUCAAUUAAGAAAAAAAUAUAAUUUAAAUUAAAAUACAUGGAUUGUGAACAUACUGGCUUUAUUAACACAUGGACGUUUUUGGGUUGCUGGCUAAAUAGCUCCAAUUUUGAUAGAAAAUAUUGUUCCUAAAACUAGCAGUUUCUAGUUCCUGCUUUCUUCUUACACACAAACAGUGGAAUUUGUCUUCAGAAAUUACCCAAGGGAUUUGGAAAAACUCACAGAUUGAUCUUUAACUAAUGUUUAAAAUGUAUAGCAGCUGAAAUUAGAGAGUCAUCUGUUGGAGGUGAUCUUUAGCCUUUUGUAAGCAGAAUCGUUUUGGAAAGGCACAAGAUGUUAUAAAGUAGACAGGAUGUGAUGCCUGAUGUUUUUUAUUGGGGAGCUGAAGAAGAUAGUGCCUCCUCUGCAGAUAAGUUUAGAAAAUGGAAAGCCACUACUGGUUCAUGUGGAUCCUUAACCCAGCGCUGCAUCAACUGAUGCUGCUUCAAUGUUCACUUAUGUUUAAGCAGAAUACUUUAAAUAUGGCCUGUAAAUGUGACAGCUCUUACUGCUUUCUUUGGCCAUUGUUCUGUAUUCCAUUGUCAUAAGUGAAAUUCAUUCAUUGAGAAGAUGAUGUUCACAGGACCACUUGAGAGUCAAUGAAGUUGUCAAAUUAAAACCUAAAUGGGACAUGUAUUAUGUGUCGACCCUCUUCCAAGGAUGAAUUUCACCUUUCUCUGCUCAAAUUUCUGACUCCUCUUCCUUUAUAAGAAAUAAUCUAUUUCUCUCCGGUGUCCUUCAUUUUUUUUUUCUAGAAAUGGCUACACAUUUUAGCACUUCGCUAAAGAGUGUGACGAGAAUACUGAUAAGAAAGUAUUGUCUUUUUUCCUUAGUGAGAUUGGUUAGGGGGAAAAGAAAAAAAGAAAUACAAAUAGACUGGCACUUCAUCAUGCCUAUUUGUAAAUAAUAUCCUCAAAAUCACGUUCUUUUUUUUUCCUGCCUUGUUUCAAUAACAGCAUAUGCCUUAGAGGAAUGCUACAAAAAAUAUAAAUCUGUUAUUAUCAUUUUUUCAUUUCCAUGCUGUGCUGAAGAGUAAUCAAUAUUGGAGCAGUGUAGUGAUUUGAUCCUUCUGACUUUAUUAUACAUGAAGAGUGCAUAUUGCAUCCAUAGAUAUUUGAUACUCUCCCUGCCUUUGUAUGACUCUUGCAAAAAAAAAAAAUGAGGAUAAUACCCUGUCUGAAAUCUGCAGAGGUUAAUGUAUUCUGCAGUAAUGAUUUUUUCUGAACAUCAAGCUAUAGAAUUUGCUUUUAAAAUCUGUUAAGCACUGAGCUAUCAAUAGUUGUCUUAUACUUGAAUUCAUUUGCUGUUUUCUCAAAUAACAUCACCUCCCUUACAGAUUUUGUACUUUGUAAGCUAAUAUUUAUACAUGCAGUAAUUCAAUUUUCUGUCUACUUUAUGAAGGUCACAUUUUCAAGGACAGCAUGGGCAAUUCAAGGACAAAACUCCUACAUGCAUAAGUAUACAGACAUUAUUUGUGGCAUAGUUUGUUUUGGUAGAAAGAAAUCAAGUAUAUUGGAUGAAAGUGAAAAUUUUUAGGCUAAAGAAAAAACUCUUCAGUUGUUGCCACUGUGUGAAGAGAAGAGGAGGAGUAAUUACCAUAUGCAGUUUUCCUGAGAUAUUAAAAUUGUCAAAUGUUAGAACUCUUUAAGCAAACUUAGGAUGCAAGGUGGGAAUUUAAGGCAUAUGGCAAAGCUGUUGAAUAUCUUAUUGCAGGAGUUGUAAGCUGAUUUUAGCCUAGGUCAGUCACAGAAAUUUCCCAGAACUCAAAUCAUAGCCUCAGCAAUCCCUCUUUAGAAAUAUUCUGCAUAUGGCCCAAAUGCAAUGCUAUCUUAAAAUUUUAAAUGGAAGAGAGAUCUUACAUAUAUUUUAAAGUACCUUUAGGAAGCAAAAAGCACAAAGGAAGUCCUUCAUAUCAGAGUCAAUAACUGAAAGUAGAACAGCAUUGUUUUCCAACUUCUUUUCUUAUGCUGCAGCUUUGAGGUGUGUUUAACUAUACAUUACGCUUGAACACCUCUUCAGCUGAAGACUGUUUAUAACUGGCUGUUAACACUAAAUUAAUCAGUGUGUACCUCACAGUCAGAUAAAGAUCAUUUUUGUGAUUGUGCAGUGCCAUCUUCAUCUUCCUCUAUCACAAUGUAUAUGCAUGCUUUUCUCCACAAUAUCUUUAUAAUAGCUCUAAAGUGAUCUCCAGGGAAUGUACUUGUCAUGAGAUAAUUACUGUCCUGUUCUAUGUGAAACUCUUGGCUGCUCUUCAUGCUUUAGGAUAUCCCAAGAGAAUAAUCACUGUACCACAAUGUCUUUUCUAUUGUGAUUUAAUGUCAUCUUAUAGUGAUUGACAAAGCAGUCAAGAUGAAAUUAAUUUAUCUU
ensembl:lncRNA